rnacentral:lncRNA from 1 species
UUAAGACUCUCAAAGCAGAAUUUAAAAAACGUUUUAGUAGUAAUCCCUUAUUUUCUAUAAUGAAAUCUUAUGUGGGACCUCAAUAUAUACAACAGUGACCAGUUAGAGGGCCAGGCUGACAUGGGACAGAUGGUACAUAAGCUCUCUUGAUUACCAAGUCUCCUCCCAUAUUCAUUAUGCAGGGAGUGCGAUUGUUAUGGUUUCAUUUUUUAAGAGACACACAGGACCUUCUGAAGAAUCUAGAUACUCUAGGAGCAUACUCAAAUAAAUAGUAUACAUUCCACCAUGGCUGUGAACAUCUGCUUUCAUUAUUAAUAUUUGUUUCUUUUUUCCUUAGUCUUGAAAAAAGUUCAUAACGACCACUUAUAAUUUGUGCUUUGAUGACUUCCUUUCAAAGUAUAUUUUACUUUGCUCUUUAGAUACUCAAUGACUUAGAUUUAAAAUCUUUUUGUUAAGACAUUUAAAGCUAUAAUUUUUCCUUAGACAUCAGCUCUGCCAGCAUGUCUUUCACUUUCCUACACAAUCUGUAAUUCUAGUUUUGGUUAAUCUAAAAUCUACUUGGAAAGACAUUUUUAAUUUCCAAUGUUAAAUUUCUCCAGAGUAUCUCUUUCGUUGAAUUUUAGCGGGAACGCAUGCUGUAUUAUGUCUACUUUUGAGAAGUGAAGAUUUUCUUUAAUUUUUGUAAAUCUUACUCAUGGCAUUUGAAAAAAGAUGUGGUAUGAGAUACGUAAUAUACGCAUACAACCAAGCUUAUUAACCAUGCCUUUAAUUCCCCCAUGGCCUUUCCCAUCCUUUGAUUAUAUGGCCUGUCAGUUACUGAGUAACAUGCAAGGUACUCUGUUAAGUGGUUUACCUCCAUUAAUCCCCACACGGGCUUACAACAGCCUACUUAUUCCCCUCUGGGAUACAUGUGGGAAACUGAGGCACUGAGAAUAAGUCACUUGUCCAGGUUAAAAGCCUAGUAAAUAGUACCAGGGAUUUAUGCAUUUAGUUCUCACAUCAAAGCCAUGUAUUACCCAUCACACUAAACUCUUUUCAUGUUACAUUUCAUGGUACAAAAAGGACCACAGCUUUCACAUCAUCUUGGAAGAAUAUAUAAAACUGCUUUCUCUAUCCCAUUUAAUAAUUUCUACCUCACAUUUUGCCUGAUAUUGCUUUGCCAUUCCUGCUAUCAUUCCAAAAGGUCACUAUGCAGCUCUUGUCGGCAUCUGUCCUUGUUCUACGUACAUCUUAUGCAAACUGUGUUGCUAUUUUAUAUUAUCUGUUUCAGCUGUUUAAUAGGAUAGAGUUUAGUCUAUUCAAAUUUGUUUUCAUUUUAUUUUCACCACUUUAUGUUCUAUGGGCUAUUGUUUCAUCACUCCCCUGGCCCCACACCCAAUUUUGUGGCACUGAAAUGUAUUUGUGGUUCAUUUUGCCACCCUUUCGCCAGCAAGUUUAAAAGUAAUAAAUCCUGUUUCUAUACUAUUAAUAGUUUUCCUUAAAGAGGUAGUUUUGAAAUUAUAACUCUCUAAGUGUCAAGCACUAAUGAGUAUCUACCAUUCAUCUCCUUCCAUAUCCCCUUACAAGGUGCUAUGGUCUGAAUGUCUGUGUUCCCUUAAAUUCAUACACUGACGCCUAAUGCCCAUUGUGACAGUAUUAGAAAGUAGGGCCUUUGGGAGGCAAUUGGGAGGACCUCCUUUGGGAGGUCAUGAAGGCCCUACCCUCAUAACUGGUAUUACGAAGAGACAUCUGAAGAGCUAGUUAGCUCCUUCCACCAUGUAAGAACACAGCAAGAAGGCACCAUGUAUGAACCAGAGAGCAAAAGCUCUCACCACACACCGAAACUGCCGGUGACUUGAUCGUGAACUUCCCAGCCUCCAGAACUAGCAGCAUCUGAAGAGCCACGGGGCCCCCACCUUCAUCCCUGAGAAUUUUAGGAGCCAGCCUGCCUUUCCAGGUGACACUGGACACUUUCAUCUGAGAACCCUGUCACAUGACAGUUGUUUCCUUUCUUCCUCCUCUCCUGGGAAUGCUGCUGCUUCGAUGACCCAAGAGCCUAAGAAGGGUAGCUGUUUCUCAAUACACUGAGAGAGAGUUCUUUCUCCGUCCUGACCAUCUUGGGACCCGAUGGCAAGACUGGAAGGAUUUAUAUCUCCUUUUGUACAGAAAACUGCCUCCCCAUGUUGGUUUGUGAAGUGAAAUGCAUAUAAAACAGAGGAUUCCAGACUCUCAGAAGUCAAUACAUAAAUAAAUAAAAAUAAAACUGAGAAGAUA